rnacentral:rRNA from 1 species
UACGUAGGGUGCAAGCGUUGUCCGGAAUUAUUGGGCGUAAAGGGCUCGUAGGCGGUCCAUCGCGUCGGGAGUGAAAAGCUGGGGCUUAACCCCAGUCCUGCUUCCGAUACGGGUGGACUAGAGGUAGGUAGGGGAGAACGGAAUUCCUGGUGUAGCGGUGAAAUGCGCAGAUAUCAGGAGGAACACCGGUGGCGAAGGCGGAUCUCUGGGCCUUACCUGACGCUCAGGUGCGAAAGCUAGGGGAGCGAACAGG